GACCGCGUAGCUCAGUUGGCAGAGCAUUGGGCUAGUAUUCCGAAGGUCCUAGGUUCGAUUCCCACCGUGGCCA